GGGGGUGACAGGCUUUGACAGCCAAGGGAAAGCGACGGGUGCAUGCGAGGUUCGUUGCCCUCCUCUCAAAAGGGCAACCGAGCAAGAAGUGCCGAAACUUCUUACGCACUCGCUGCCUAAUCGCAGGUAGCGCGGGAGUAGGGAAGCCCUGCCUGAGGCUGAACUGCUCCUGACGGGUAAAUCAGGCUUGGGUGAGGGGAAGCCCCGACCCUCAUCGACAGGCGGGGGCUUGGGAGGGCAGGCUAUCUGCCUCUGGAUAGCGUCCUCCGACACCUUGCAGAGGCUAAGCAUGUAGGACCCGAGCAGGUACCUUAGGCUGGACGCGGGUUCGAGUCCCGCCACCUCCACUU
rnacentral:tmRNA from 1 species